rnacentral:rRNA from 1 species
UACGGAGGGUGCAAACGUUGCUCGGAAUUAUUGGGCGUAAAGCGCGUGUAGGCGGCAGGGCAAGUCGGAUGUGAAAGCCCACGGCUCAACCGUGGAAGUGCACCCGAAACUGCCCCGCUAGAGUCUCGGAGAGGAAGGUGGAAUGCUUGGUGUAGAGGUGAAAUUCGUAGAUAUCAAGCGGAACACCGGUGGCGAAGGCGGCCUUCUGGACGAUGACUGACGCUGAGACGCGAAAGCGUGGGGAGCAAACAGG